rnacentral:rRNA from 1 species
UACAGAGGGUGCGAGCGUUAAUCGGAAUUACUGGGCGUAAAGGGUGCGUAGGCGGUUAUAUAAGUUAGAUGUGAAAUCCCUAGGCUUAACCUGGGAACUGCGUUUAAUACUGUAUAGCUAGAGUACUGAAGAGGUUAGUGGAAUUUCCAGUGUAGCGGUGAAAUGCGUAGAUACUGGAAGGAACACCAGUGGCGAAGGCGACUAACUGGUCAGAUACUGACGCUGAGGCACGAAAGCGUGGGGAGCAAACAGG